rnacentral:circRNA from 1 species
UUUGCCAGGGUUUGGAUACCUGAUCCAGAGGAAGUCUGGAAGUCAGCAGAGCUGCUCAAAGAUUAUAAGCCAGGAGAUAAAGUCCUCCUGCUUCACCUCGAGGAAGGAAAGGAUUUGGAAUACCAUCUAGAUCCAAAGACCAAGGAGCUGCCUCACUUACGAAAUCCUGACAUACUUGUUGGUGAAAAUGACCUCACAGCCCUCAGCUAUCUUCAUGAGCCUGCUGUGCUCCAUAAUCUCAGAGUCCGCUUUAUUGAUUCCAAACUUAUUUAUACGUAUUGUGGUAUAGUCCUAGUAGCUAUAAAUCCCUAUGAACAGCUGCCUAUUUAUGGAGAAGAUAUUAUUAAUGCAUACAGUGGUCAGAACAUGGGUGAUAUGGAUCCACAUAUCUUUGCAGUAGCUGAAGAAGCUUACAAGCAAAUGGCCAG